rnacentral:tRNA from 1 species
CGGGGUGUGGCGCAGUUGGUAGCGCGCCUGCUUUGGGAGCAGGAGGCCGGGAGUUCGAGUCUCCCCACCCCGACCA